CCUAGAAUGGCUUCCAACAAGGCAUCGUGGAUGAAAAUGUACUGCUCCUGUAAGGGACAGUAUAUGUCAUCACUGAGAAGAGCUGCAUGCUGUCUAUUACAAUGUAGGUGCCUGUCCUGCCCACACCAGCGCUAGAAGAAAUGAGGACACCCAACUAGGACGGUCAUUCGUUUACAGUAACCUGGAAAAGUUACCAUCUAAAUAUUGACCUCACUUGCAGCUCAAGCAAAGGAUGUUCAGUCGGGGAUCUGCGAGGGACAGAGAGUGGCCCCUCUCGGCAGAGCUGUCCCCACACCAGAACUGUGUCCGCUGAGGCCCCAGGGUCUCCAUUUUCUGACUUCCUGCCCCAACUCCAGAAGGCUUUGGUCCUUUGCUUUCAUCUGACAGUGGGCCCGGAUUCCCAUCCUUUCUCCACUGUCCAGGGUGAACCUUCAGGAAC